rnacentral:sRNA from 1 species
GAAAGGAUGAAUGAAAAGUCCGGAGCCGGAGCGCGCCGGGGCCAGAGCCGCGGCAGAGGCAGAGGAGGGAGCGAGGAGGUGAGACCCGCUCCACCCUGCUCGCCUAGGCUCGGCGGAGGCUAAGAGCAGGGCAGCCUCCUCUGUCCGGCGCCCGCUGAGCCCCGGCAUCUGGAACUCAGGGCCCUGGCGCUCCAGGGACGGGAACUGGCCGGGAAGACCGCGCGGGAGAGCACGGAUGGGCACCCUGGGCUCGAUUGCAUUUGACCUACCUCAGGAUAUCCAAAGGAGAACAGAGGGAAGUGGGGGGUUGAGAACUGACACCCUACAACACCAGCACCUCAGUGGAAAGGAGGAAUAGAGCCCAAGAGGGAUGUGGGGAAUGUAAAAAGGGCAGCUCUCUGGCAUGUUCCUGACUGAGGAUCUCAUAACAUUUAACUUGAGGAACUUCCUCCUUUUCCAGCUUUCGGAGUCAAGCUUCUCACCUGGGGCGGGUGGGUGCUGCACUACCCUCUCACCCUCCUUCCUCCGUGUGGACGACAGAGCCACAUCCAGCACCACGGACAGCUCCCGGGCGAUCCCAUGGGAGUAGAAGAGGUGUGAGCAGGUUGCCCAGCUGGUUAGCGGAAAUGCCAAGAUUCAGGCUCCUGAAUUUCAGCCUGGCCCUUUUUAUCUGUCUGAUACCUCCUUUAGGAGUCUCUCUGCCUGAGUUGGGUGGAGCGGGCCUGCUGCUGUUUGGGGGAGUGUGCAGGUUGCCCAUAUGCAAAAA